ACAGAGGUGGCAAGCGUUGUUCGGAAUUACUGGGCGUAAAGGGCGCGUAGGCGGUCUUUUAAGUUCCGUGUGAAAUCCCUCGGCUCAACUGGGGAACGGCACGGGAAACUGGAAGGCUUGAGUUCGGGAGAGGGAAGCGGAAUUCCGGGUGUAGCGGUGAGAUGCGUAGAUAUCGGGAGGAACACCUGUGGCGAAGGCGGCCCCCUGGUUGGAUACUGACGCUGAUACGCGAAAGCGUGGGGAGCAAACAGGA
rnacentral:rRNA from 1 species